rnacentral:rRNA from 1 species
AUUGGGAAGAUGAUGACGGUACCAAUCGAAUCAGCCUCGGCUAACUCCGUGCCAGCAGCCGCGGUAAUACGGAGGAGGCAAGCGUUAUCCGGAAUUAUUGGGCGUAAAGCGCCCGUAGGUGGUGAUUCAAGUCUUUUGUCAAAGCGUGGAGCUUAACUCCAUACCGGCAGGAGAAACUGGAUUGCUAGAGUGCGAUAGGGGCAAGGGGAAUUCCCAGUGUAGCGGUGAAAUGCGUAGAUAUUGG